GCGGGGUGGAGCAGUUCGGUAGCUCGUCGGGCUCAUAACCCGAAGGUCGCAGGUUCAAAUCCUGCCCCCGCAACCAA
rnacentral:tRNA from 1 species